rnacentral:tRNA from 1 species
GGGGUUGUGGCUCGGUGGUAGAGUGCUUGCCUCGCAUGCAUGAGGCACUGGGUUUGAUCCUCAGCACCACA